AUUGAACGCUGGCGGCAGGCCUAACACAUGCAAGUCGAGCGGCAGCGGGAAAGUAGCUUGCUACUUUUGCCGGCGAGCGGCGGACGGGUGAGUAAUGCCUGGGGAUCUGCCCAGUCGAGGGGGAUAACUACUGGAAACGGUAGCUAAUACCGCAUACGCCCUACGGGGGAAAGCAGGGGAUCUUCGGGCCUUGCGCGAUUGGAUGAACCCAGGGGGGAUUAGCUAGUUGGUGAGGUAAUGGCUCACCAAGGGGACGAUCCCUAGCUGGUCUGAGAGGAUGAUCAGCCACACUGGAACUGAGACACGGUCCAGACUCCUACGGGAGGCAGCAGUGGGGAAUAUUGCACAAUGGGGGAAACCCUGAUGCAGCCAUGCCGCGUGUGUGAAGAAGGCCUUCGGGUUGUAAAGCACUUUCAGCGAGGAGGAAAGGUUGGUAGCUAAUAACUGCCAGCUGUGACGUUACUCGCAGAAGAAGCACCGGCUAACUCCGUGCCAGCAGCCGCAGUAAUAC
rnacentral:rRNA from 1 species